CACGUAUUUAGCCGUCACUUCUUCUGUUGGUACCGUCAUUUUUUCUUCCCAACUGAAAGCACGUUACAUUCCGAAAAACUUCAUCGUGCACACAGAAUUGCUGGAUCAGACUCUUGGUCCAUUGUCCAAUAUUCCCCACUGCUGCCUCCCGUAGGAGUAAGGGCCGUGUCUCAGUCCCCUUGUGGCCGAUCACCCUCUCAGGCCGGCUACCCAUCAUCGCCUUGGUGAGCCGUUACCUCUCCAACUAGCUAAUGGGACGCAAAGCUCUCUCACAGCGCAUAUAGCUUUCAUAAUUCUAGGAUGCCCUAAAAUCAUAAUAUCAGGUAUUAGCAUUCGUUUCCAAAUGUUGUCCCUAUCUGUGAGGCAAGUUCUUUACGCGUUACUCACCCGUCCGCCACCCAAACCGAGUUCAAGUUGACUUGCAUGUGUUAGCAUUCUGUCAGCGUUCAUCCUGAGCCAAGGAACUCUAACUGUACGUACGUAGACCUAGGCCAAGGACCG
rnacentral:rRNA from 1 species